rnacentral:tRNA from 1 species
GGAUUAUGGCUCAGAGGUAGAGCACUUGCCUAGCAUGCAUGAGUGAGGCAAUGGGUUUGAUCCCCAGCACCA